rnacentral:rRNA from 1 species
GAGGCAUGCGAGGGCUGUCGCUGGCUUUUGACACAAAAGUCGUGCACGCCGGAGUGUGUCCUCUCACAUAAAAUCCAUCUCACCCUUUUGUGCACCACCGCGUGGGCACCCUUCGGGAUCAAACCGAUCCGGGAGGGGGCUUGCGUUUUCAUACAAACCCCCUUUUUAAAAAGUGUAGAAUGACCCCAUUUUUGCGAUAACACGCAAUCAAUACAACUUUCAACAACGGAUCUCUUGGCUCUCGCAUCGAUGAAGAACGCAGCGAAAUGCGAUACGUAAUGUGAAUUGCAGAAUUCAGUGAAUCAUCGAAUCUUUGAACGCACCUUGCGCCCCUUGGUAUUCCGAGGGGCACACCCGUUUGAGUGUCGUGAAAAUCUCAACCUCCUCGGUUUCUUCUGGACACCGAAGGAGGCUUGGACUUUGGAGGCCUUUGCUGNCAUCUCGCCAGCUCCUCUCAAAUGAAUUAGCGGGGUCCUCUUUGCCGAUCCUCGACAUGUGAUAAGAUGUUUCCAUGUCUUGNNUUUGGCUCUGUUGCCUUUGGNANCCGCUUCCAACCGUCUCAUCGAGACAAUGUUUGAGCUCGUCUCCCUUCUCGGGAAANACUCUCAGACCC